GAGCGCGUGGUGUAACGGUUAGCAUUGCUGCCUUGUCGGAGUACAUCAAGUUACAACGGGAGGUUUUGGAUACUUACAGUGUACGAUAAGAGUCGGUGUGCUCUUGACGUAAAGGCAGCCAGGACCGGGUUCAACUCCCGGCGCGUUCA